CUGAGACUUUGGGGUUGUUUGCUACCACAACAUACUGGAUAAAAGUUGACAUACAAGAAAGAGUGAGAGUCAGAUAUGCGGCAAUUUCAACUGCUAAGACUGUAGAAGAAAGCUCUCUUUAACUGCACCACGACGGCCCUGAUUGUUUUGGUUCUUCUGGGUCCAUAUGAAUUUUAGGAUCAGCUUGUCAAUUUCUGCAGAAACCAGCUCUUGAUAUUCUCCUGGCCACACUGAUCACAGUGCUUUUGCUCUCCCUGGCCACAGAAUGUAUGGCAAGGUCUAUGUUCCUUUCCCUUGGAUCUGGAUGCACCUUCUGACUGCUUGACAAAUAGAAUACGGUAAAAGUGACCAUGUUGCUGGGACCAGGCCUUAAAAAAUUGGAGGUUUCCUCUUCCUGUCUUCUAGGACACCCUUCUUAGUGACCAUACAAGAAGUCCAACUACCCUGAGACCCUCAUGUAGGGAAGAUCAUGUAUAGGCACUCCAGUGGUCCUUCCUGCUGAGCCCAGUCUUCCAGUCAUGCUUGGCAAGGUGCCAGACAUGUGAAUGAAGCCCCUUGGACCUUCUAGACAAGCUGUUACCUAAUCUGAAUUUCAUCAGGUGACCUCAGCCAAGGCCACAUGGAGCAAAAAAAGUGUUCAGACACUGCCUGAAUUCCUGAGCCAGUAAUCAUGAGAUAUAAUAAAAUGGUUGAUAUUUUAAACCCGGCAUGUUGGGUAAAUUGUUAAGCAGCAAUAAUUAACAAAACA
rnacentral:lncRNA from 1 species